rnacentral:misc_RNA from 1 species
GUAGGUGAACCUGCGGAAGGAUCAUUAAAAUACCGAUAAACACCACUGCUUUUGGCACUAAACACACAAACCUAUUUUUUUUUAAUACUUUCUAAGCUUCACUUUUUGUGAAAUUUAAAUAAAAAAAACAAAACUUUCAACAACGGAUCUCUUGGUUCUCGCAUCGAUGAAGAACGCAGCAUCUGACUGACUGCACUCGUUAGAA